UACAUGUUUAAUAGCUCCAGUUUUUUUAUAGUCCAAAUCAGGUCUUGUGGAACUUCAUGUCUAUCAGUCAGUCUCUGAACACGAAAGAGGCUAAACACAUGAACGGAUUCGUUUGAAAUUUUUACCAUAUGAAUAUUGCGAAAAAGUUUUCAAUUUUCAGAAAUUGUCUCAAAAAGCUGAAAUAUGUACGUAUUUAUUUUCCAGAAUGGCCUAUGUAACCGUUCUUUUUGUAUGCCCGUCCUUCAGAGUGGGUUGACAGAUUUUGGAAAAAUUUUGCACACUCAUUUACAUAUCUGCACAAUGCAUAAGACCAGUUCGAAGAUGAAAAACAUUUGGACCGGUAGGGGAUCAUACAUAUUUAUAUAAAAAUUCCAGGCGUGGUCACCGUUGGUGCAAAACAUUCUAAAUUCAUACAGAAUUCAUACAUGUUGAAUUAUUCAUAGAUGGUCGCAAUUCUAAAUUCGGUACAGCGUCCCAAUAGAGAUACGUAUUAAAUCGAAAUAUAAAAUAAAAAAGUUUCAAUUUUUCUUAAUUGGAGGAAACUGGUUCGGGCUGUGCAAAAGUGGAUCGAUAAGUCUUGUUUACUGUCAUCACUUGCGGUAGUUAAUUGGAUUGGGAUUUACGUUACGUACUUGUCACAUAAAUAAUCAGAUAAAAAGCCAAGGCUGACUAGUUGCAAAUAGCAUUUUGGUAAGUGCAGUGAUUGAUUAAAACGUUAUAAAUGGAGGUAAAAAUGGGUAUAGAAAUUUUGGGAAUCUGUCUAGUUUUGAUCAUUUAUCUUUGCUGGCGAGUCUUUUUUCGGCCAUUCAAUUUGUUUAGGGAUUUUGGAGACCUCGGAUUCGAGUCGGUUUCCAAAACUGGGAAUGACAUUUACAAAAGAAACGCCAUUAACGAGAUGCGGAAACGAAGAAAAAAUGGGAAACUUCCGCCAUCCUAUCCAAACGGGUGGUUCGCCAUUCUCGAAUCUGAAAGCUUGAAGGCAGGAGAGACCAAGGAAAUUUAUGCUUUAGGCCAGAAUUUAGUAGCGUGGAGAGGGAGGAGGAGUGGGGUCACCUACGUGGCCGAUGCCUAUUGCCCCCAUCUCGGUGCACAUCUCGGUGUUGGAGGUGAGGUCAAAGGUGACUGCAUCCAAUGUCCCUUUCACGGAUGGGAGUUUGAUGGAGAAAAGGAGGGAAAAUUAACCCGAAUUCCGUACGCAGAGAAAGUUCCCGGAUUUGCACAAAUUAAACUGUGGCCUGUCACGGAGACGAAUGGCUUCAUAUUCGUAUGGUUUCAUAGUGAAGGAAGUGGCCCGUCUUGGAAUUUGGAUCCUAUCCCGGAAAUUGUUGAGGGCAAGUGGAGUUAUCGUGGAAGGUCGGAAAUGCGCGUGGCUUGUCACAUUCAGGAAAUACCAGAAAACGGUGCAGAUCUUGGACACUUAAACGUACUUCAUUGUGAUUCCGCUUGGAGUGGCGAUGACCCGAAGAGUUCCUGGAUUUCAAGAAAUUUAAUACAACAUGUAUGGCAUGGAACGUGGGAGCCAAACGUUAACCGUAGCCACGAAGCAAUUAUGAAGCUUACCCAUUUGAUUAAACUGUUUAAUCGUUUUUCUUGUUUGCAUAUAAAUGUGGAUGUUCGUCAGCAAAGUUUAGAUCGGUCCUGGGAUCGUGAUUUUGCAUUUUGACACAUAUUUUGGACAAGGCGUCUUCGUUCAAACGGUGACCCCAAUUGAGCCCCUUUUGCAGACAGUGACCCACCGUUUCUAUUCGGGGGGAUGGAUUAUCCAACCUGUGGCUAAUAUGAUACUAGAUGCGGAGUCUAAGCAGAUUUCAAGAGACAUCCGAAUCUGGAACAGAAAAUGCUUCUUGGAUAAACCGAUUUUGAUAAGGGAAGAACAAACAAUUAAAUUAUUUCGGAGAUGGUUCUCCCAAUUUUAUUAUGAAAACAGUAAUUCCGACAAUGGAAGGACAAAUUAUUUUAAAAAGGGAUAAUUUUUAUUAAAUGCAUAAAGUAACAUGAAUAUGAGAAUUUAUAAGAUUUUUGUCACCAAUAAUAGUCAUUUUCAAACCAGGUCGUAAAUUAUUGUUCAGUGCGAAUUGACCUGAACUCCUAUUUGUCACUAUUUAAACGACAAUUAUUAAACACGAAAUUUUAAAAAUAUCAAAUGCUUGUAUACAAAUUAAAAUAUUAGAAUAUAUUUCAACACAAAUCGA